rnacentral:rRNA from 1 species
AACGUAGGUCCCGAGCGUUAUCCGGAUUUACUGGGCGUAAAGCGUGUUCAGGCGGUCUAGCAAGUCGGGCAUGAAAUCUCUCGGCUCAACCGGGAGGGGUUGUCCGAUACUGCUGGGCUUGAGGGCAGCAGAGGGUGGUGGAAUUCCAGGUGUAGCGGUGAAAUGCGUAGAUAUCUGGAGGAAUACCGGUGGCGAAGGCGGCAUCCUGGACCGGCAUUGACGCUGAGUGAGCGAAAGCCAGGGGAGCAAACAGG